rnacentral:rRNA from 1 species
UAGGGAAUCUUCCGCAAUGGGCGAAAGCCUGACGGAGCAACGCCGCGUGAGUGAUGAAGGUCUUCGGAUCGUAAAACUCUGUUAUUAGGGAAGAACAAAUGUGUAAGUAACUAUGCACGUCUUGACGGUACCUAAUCAGAAAGCCACGGCUAACUACGUGCCAGCAGCCGCGGUAAUACGUAGGUGGCAAGCGUUAUCCGGAAUUAUUGGGCGUAAAGCGCGCGUAGGCGGUUUUUUAAGUCUGAUGUGAAAGCCCACGGCUCAACCGUGGAGGGUCAUUGGAAACUGGAAAACUUGAGUGCAGAAGAGGAAAGUGGAAUUCCAUGUGUAGCGGUGAAAUGCGCAGAGAUAUGGAGGAACACCAGUGGCGAAGGCGACUUUCUGGUCUGUGACUGACGCUGAUGUGCGAAAGCGUGGGGAUCAAACAGG